UACGUAGGGGGCAAGCGUUGUCCGGAAUCGAUUGGCGUAAAGCGCGUGUAGGCGGCCCGGUAAGUCCGCUGUGAAAGUCGGGGGCUCAACCCUCGAAUGCCGGUGGAUACUGUCGGGCUAGAGUGCGGGAGAGGCGAGUGGAAUUCCUGGUGUAGCGGUGAAAUGCGCAGAUAUCAGGAGGAACACCGGUGGUGUAGACGGCUCUCUGGACCGUAACUGACGCUGAGACACGAAAGCGUGGGUAGCAAACAGG
rnacentral:rRNA from 1 species